rnacentral:rRNA from 1 species
AUACGUAGGGGGCGAGCGUUAUCCGGAAUUAUUGGGCGUAAAGAGUACGUAGGUGGUUUUGUAAGCGCAAGGUGAAAGACCGCAGCUUAACUGCGGUGAGCCUUGUGAACUGCAAGACUUGAGUGCAGGAGGGGAAAGUGGAAUUCCUAGUGUAGCGGUGAAAUGCGUAGAUAUUAGGAGGAACACCGGUGGCGAAGGCGACGUUCUGGACUGUAACUGACACUGAGGUACGAAAGCGUGGGGAGCAAACAGGAUUAGAUACCCGGGUAGUCCACGCCGUAAACGAUGAGCACUAGGUGUUGGCGUAGAAAUACGUCGGUGCCGAAGUUAACGCAUUAAGUGCUCCGCCUGGGGAGUACGCACGCAAGUGUGAAACUCAAAUGAAUUGACGGGG